rnacentral:rRNA from 1 species
GAAGUUUGGACCGUGUCUCAGUUCCAAUGUGGCCGAUCACCCUCUCAGGUCGGCUACUGAUCGUUACCUUGGUGGGCCGUUACCCCGCCAACUAGUUAAUCAGACGCAGGCCCAUCCUUAGCCGAUAAAUCUUUGGCUGUUAAAACAUGUGUCUCAACAGCAUUAUGAGGUUUUAAUCAUCGUUUCCAAUGGCUAUCCCUCUGCUAAGGGCAGGUUGCCUACGCGUUACUCACCCGUCCGCCGCUUUCCACUACACAGAAUUGUCCGAAAACGCUUCAAAGUAGCUUCUCGCUCGACUUGCAUGUAUUAGGCACGCCGCCAGCGUUCAUC